CCUACGGGAGGCAGCAGUGAGGAAUAUUGGUCAAUGGCCGGAAGGCUGAACCAGCCAUGCUGCGUGAAGGACAGUGCCCUAUGGGCGUUAAACUUCUUUUGUGCGGGAGCAAUAAUGGUCACGUGUGGCCAGACGAGAGUACCGUACGAAUAAGCAUCGGCGAACUCCGUGCCAGCAGCCGCGGGAAUACGGGGGAUGCAAGCGUUAUCCGGAUUUAUGGGGUUUAAAGGGUGCGUAGGCUGUGAGGUAAGUCAGCGGUGAAAUGCCCCCGCUCAACGGGGUGAAGUGCCAUUGAUACUGCCUUGCUGGAAUGCGGAUGCCGUGGGAGGAAUGUGUGGUGUAGCGGUGAAAGGCAUAGAUAUCACGCAGAACACCGAUUGCGAAGGCAUCUCACGAGUCCGCGAUUGACGCUGAUGCACGAAAGCGUGGGUAUCAAACAGGAUUAGAUACCCCAGUAGUC
rnacentral:rRNA from 1 species